AACCUAGCUAUUAUUAGAUCUACUAACCAAUAGUUUCCUUAGAAUACCCUAAGCCUGACGUUUUUACAUUCUUGUCUUACAACCUCACAAUCUACUAUUGCUUCCUUUUGUUUCUUUUUAUUUUCAUUACUAUCUUACUUAGCUUAAUUCAAAACCUUGGUCUAUUGUGUGACCCGAGAGCUUUGUGGAAUUCGACCCUUAAGUGCUACAAUCGAUCUCUUAUUUGAGAGAGUGGUCUUAAGGCAAUUAGACCUAUAUCAAAUUUGGCGCCGUUGCCGAAGUUCUCUACGAUUCACCAUUAGAUUAGGAUUAGAAAUUUGUCUAAGAUUAUAUUUUUAUUUUUCUUUUUAUUUACUUAGUCUUUCUCUUUUCCUUUUCUUGU
rnacentral:sRNA from 1 species